rnacentral:rRNA from 1 species
UACAGAGGUCCCGAGCGUUGUUCGGAUUCACUGGGCGUAAAGGGUGCGUAGGCGGUUCUGAAAGUCUGAUGUGAAAUCUCCAGGCCCAACCUGGAAAUGGCAUUAGAAACUACAGGGCUAGAGGCUUGGAGGGGGAACUGGAAUGCUCGGUGUAGCAGUGAAAUGCGUAGAGAUCGAGCGGAACACCAGUGGCGAAGGCGAGUUCCUGGACAAGUCCUGACGCUGAGGCACGAAAGCCAGGGGAGCAAACAGG